rnacentral:rRNA from 1 species
CUUGGUCAUUUAGAGGAAGUAAAAGUCGUAACAAGGUUUCCGUAGGUGAACCUGCGGAAGGAUCAUUAGUGAAUUGAAUAUGUUAGCGGACCUCUUCGGAGUCCCUAGCAUCAAAUCAUAUCCAUAACACCUGUGAACUGUAAGGCUGUCUUGAAAACGAAAGUGAUUAGAGCGCCUGCCCAUUUUAUACAAACAUUAAAGUAACAAACGUAGUCUUAUUAUAAUCUAAUAAAACUUUCAACAACGGAUCUCUUGGCUCUCGCAUCGAUGAAGAACGCAGCGAAAUGCGAUAAGUAAUGUGAAUUGCAGAAUUCAGUGAAUCAUCGAAUCUUUGAACGCACCUUGCGCUCUUUGGUAUUCCGAAGAGCAUGCCUGUUUGAGUGUCAUGAAAAUAUCAACCUUGACUUGGGUUUAGUGCUCUUGUCUUGGCUUGGAUUUGGCUGUUUGCCGCUCGAAAGAGUCGGCUCAGCUUAAAAGUAUUAGCUGGAUCUGUCUUUGAGACUUGGUUUGACUUGGCGUAAUAAGUUAUUUCGCUGAGGACAAUCUUCGGAUUGGCCGAGUUUCUGGGACGUUUGUCCGCUUUCUAAUACAAGUUCUAGCUUGCUAGACAUGACUUUUUUAUUAUCUGGCCUCAAAUCAGGUAGGACUACCCGCUGAACUUAAGCAUAUCAAUAAGCGGAGGAA